GUCCUUAGUUACCAGCACGUUAUGGUGGGCACUCUAAGGAGAACUGCCGGUGACGAAACCGGAGGAAGGUGGGGAUGACGUCAAGUCAUCAUGGCCCUUACGGCCUGGGCUACACACGUGCUACAAUGGUACGGUACAAAGGGUUGCCAAGCCGCGAGGUGGAGCUAAUCCCAUAAAACCGAUCGUAGUCCGGAUCGCAGUCUGCAACUCGACUGCGUGAAGUCGGAAUCGCUAGUAAUCGUGAAUCAGAAUGUCACGGUGAAUACGUUCCCGGGCCUU
rnacentral:rRNA from 1 species